UACGAAGGGGGCUAGCGUUGCUCGGAAUCACUGGGCGUAAAGGGCGCGUAGGCGGCUGUUUAAGUCGGAGGUGAAAGCCCGUGGCUCAACCACGGAAUGGCCUUCGAUACUGGACGGCUUGAGACCGGAAGAGGACGGCGGAACUGCGAGUGUAGAGGUGAAAUUCGUAGAUAUUCGCAAGAACACCAGUGGCGAAGGCGGCUCACUGGCCCGGUACUGACGCUGAGGUGCGAAAGCGUGGGGGAGCAAACAGG
rnacentral:rRNA from 1 species